rnacentral:rRNA from 1 species
GACGAACGCUGGCGGCGUGCUUAACACAUGCAAGUCGAACGGAAAGGCCCUGCUUUUGUGGGGUGCUCGAGUGGCGAACGGGUGAGUAACACGUGAGUAACCUGCCCUUGACUUUGGGAUAACUUCAGGAAACUGGGGCUAAUACCGGAUAGGAGCUUCUGCCGCAUGGUGGGGGUUGGAAAGUUUCGGCGGUUGGGGAUGGACUCGCGGCUUAUCAGCUUGUUGGUGGGGUAGUGGCUUACCAAGGCUUUGACGGGUAGCCGGCCUGAGAGGGUGACCGGCCACAUUGGGACUGAGAUACGGCCCAGACUCCUACGGGAGGCAGCAGUGGGGAAUAUUGCACAAUGGGCGGAAGCCUGAUGCAGCAACGCCGCGUGCGGGAUGACGGCCUUCGGGUUGUAAACCGCUUUCGCCUGUGACGAAGCGUGAGUGACGGUAAUGGGUAAAGAAGCACCGGCUAACUACGUG